rnacentral:rRNA from 1 species
UCCUACGGGAGGCAGCAGUGAGGAAUAUUGGUCAAUGGUCGGGAGACUGAACCAGCCAAGCCGCGUGAGGGAUGAAGGUACAGAGUAUCGUAAACCUCUUUUGUCAGGGAGCAAGGUCGUCCACGUGUGGGCGUAUGGAGAGUACCUGAAGAAAAAGCAUCGGCUAACUCCGUGCCAGCAGCCGCGGUAAUACGGAGGAUGCGAGCGUUAUCCGGAUUUAUUGGGUUUAAAGGGUGCGUAGGCGG